rnacentral:rRNA from 1 species
GAUGAACGCUGGCGGCGUGCCUAAUACAUGCAAGUCGAGCGAAUGGAUUAAGAGCUUGCUCUUAUGAAGUUAGCGGCGGACGGGUGAGUAACACGUGGGUAACCUGCCCAUAAGACUGGGAUAACUCCGGGCAACCGGGGCUAAUACCGGAUAACAUUUUGAACCGCAUGGUUCGAAAUUGAAAGGCGGCUUCGGCUGUCACUUAUGGAUGGACCCGCGUCGCAUUGGCUAGUUGGUGAGGUAACGGCUCACCAAGGCAACGAUGCGUAGCCGACCUGAGAGGGGGAUCGGCCACACUGGGACUGGGACACGGCCCAGACUCCUACGGGAGGCAGCAGUAGGGAAUCUUCCGCAAUGGACGAAAGUCUGACGGAGCAACGCCGCGUGAGUGAUGAAGGCUUUCGGGUCGUAAAACUCUGUUGUUAGGGAAGAACAAGUGCUAGUUGAAUAAGCUGGCACCUUGACGGUACCUAACCAGAAAGCCACGGCUAACUACGUGCCAGCCGCCGCGGUAA